UACGUAGGGUGCGAGCGUUGUCCGGAAUUAUUGGGCGUAAAGAGCUUGUAGGCGGUUUGUCGCGUCGAAUGUGAAAACCCGGGGCUCAACCCCGGGCCUGCAUUCGAUACGGGCAGACUAGAGUUCGGUAGGGGAGUCUGGAAUUCCUGGUGUAGCGGUGAAAUGCGCAGAUAUCAGGAGGAACACCGGUGGCGAAGGCGGGACUCUGGGCCGAUACUGACGCUGAGGAGCGAAAGCGUGGGGAGCAAACAGG
rnacentral:rRNA from 1 species